UACGUAGGGUGCGAGCGUUGUCCGGAAUUAUUGGGCGUAAAGGGCUCGUAGGCGGUCUGUCACGUCGAAAGUGAAAACUCAGGGCUUAACCCUGAGCCUGCUUCCGAUACGGGCAGACUAGAGGUAUGCAGGGGAGAAUGGAAUUCCUGGUGUAGCGGUGAAAUGCGCAGAUAUCAGGAGGAACACCAGUGGCGAAGGCGGUUCUCUGGGCAUUACCUGACGCUGAGGAGCGAAAGCAUGGGGAGCGAACAGG
rnacentral:rRNA from 1 species